UAAGAUUUCUUGAUAAAAUGCAAAAUGUUUAAAAUAGGAACCAGGAACCCAUCCUUUUUUUUUUUGGCUUACAGAAGAGGGGAAUGCCCGAAACAACAAACCAAGCAAUUACAAGCCUUGGCAAAGAAACACCUAAAACAUUCUGGAGGAUGCCUGAGUUGAACCACACGCUCUGUCUCAACGCUUUAUUAGCAAGGAUUUCCUUCGUGACACACAUGCAGUAUUUGCACUCCCUGAAAGGAUUUCGUUAACAAACGACACCUGAACUAAAUUGAGAAAUCGCCCAUCAUGAACUAUAUGCAUAGACUACCACGAGACUACCACCUGGCAAUCAACUUCAACCAUGGAGCUUUGAACUCCCUUAUUAUGAGCGACUAUCACACCUUUAAUCACUGCCCCUAGCUCCGCCUCAAUAGUUGUACAGGUGCCAACAUAUCUGUCACAUAUUAAACCCCCGGCACCAGCUCUACCCGGAAUCCCUUUCGCACAAUCAUCUAUAUUAAACUUAAAUCCAGGAGUAAGAAGGUAGAGACCAGCCAACUAAUUUAGUGACACAAGAAUUCCAGCAGAUGGCCCAAGCUUAUUUUAUUUGUUUCGAUGUACCUCCAAAUCUGUAUUAUCGAGCACCCUUCCAUUUCUCCACCUCCAUAACCACCUGAGCACUGCUCCAAAGAGAGUACACCGAACUCCAUCAUAGCUCUCCUGAAACCUAUUAGACAAAUUAUCCACAAGCCGGGCACGCAUAUUCUUAGACAAUUCUCUAAUAAGCUUGCGCCUAGGAAUGAACAGACCUGCAAGGCAUAAGGACAGUCUCUCGGAAUAUGUGCAGGCAAUUCAAAUUUACCUGGGAGGAAAGACUAAAGGGAGUGGAAGAAAAACCUCUCUUAGCUCUCUCUUCAUUCUCCAUAAUUUUGCCGUAAGCAACUUGCCAUAAGAAAACCCAAAUUCUCUGGGAAACCGGUGCUGUCCACACAAGAUUGUCCAGACUGAGGGCUUCCAGAGUUCCACAUCGUACGAUUGAUCAUCUUCACAAACAAUAAAAGCAGCCGGCUUUUGGCUCACCAAAUCAGGUAGCCAAUUGUUCAAUUUAUUCGAGUCCCAUCCUUGUCCCAAAAUCCAAAUGGAACUAUAGCCGAACAUUCAGAUAAAAUAGGGCCAUCGAUUAGCCAAGUGUCCAUCCAAAACUGAGUUGCUCUUCCAUUUCUCACCUCAAUGAUCUUCCCUUGCUGCACUAUCACUUUUCCCUCCUUAAUAUUCCUCCAGACAAAACAAUUAGCUUUUACAGAAUAUCUAGCUCCAUGAAGUUGUUUAUUUCCUUGAAACCUAGCACACAGAAUAUCGAGCUCCUGGUAUGAAAAUGGCCUUCCUUGCUAAAUUAAGUUGGCAUAGACCUGAGAAACGGCAGCCACAGUUGAUGCUGACUAACCAGGACCAACUCUUUAGAGAAUUUUUAAAUUUUCAAGUAUUAUUUCAUUUUUAAAUUGAUUAAAUUCAGGCAUUGUAUACCCUCUCAAUCCAGUUUCUUGUAAACUUAUCUGGUUUAGUUUUUCAGAUUUGCAUUCCCCGAAGAGUGCGGCUACCUCAUCAAAUAACGUCAAUCCAAACUGGACUCUUCUCAAAC
rnacentral:lncRNA from 1 species